CUCCGUUCGUUCCAUCCUGGAUUCGAGGCGUUGGGCAGGGGGCCUUCAGUACCUCGUGGAGUGGGAGGGGUACGGUCCGGAGGAGAGGUGCUGGGUCCCGGUUGCGGAUGUUUUGGACCCCGAACUGCUACUAGCAGACAUAAAGCCUGUUCUACUCUAGUAGACUUCAAACCUGUUCUAGUCUAGCAGACAAUGACAUAAAACAAUGUUCUUUGAAGCUGCAGCCUGCACUUAUCAAAGCAUGAGAUCUUACGAGCUGCUUAUUUGAAAGUCAUAAUCAUCUUUGAGACUAAAAAUAACCACAUACAGAUGAGUCGGUUUAUGAUGCGUUUAUUGAGAACCCUGACACAAUAUGACAAGAUGUAGCAGAGACUGUUAACACUGCAGUGGGGAAUGUGUUGCUGUCAUGUUAAAUGUAGGCCUCCAGCAGUGUUGGAAUGUAGGGUGACAAACGCCUAGUUUGUUUAACCAUUUAAUAUUCCUCUCCCUCCUCAUCCUCUUCUCCCACGCUGUCAGUGCCCACCUCUUCAUAGUCCUUCUCCAGGGCUGCCAUGUCUUCUCUGGCCUCAGAGAACUCUCCCUCCUCCAUGCCCUCACCAACGUACCAGUGCACGAAGGCUCUCUUGGCAUACAUCAGGUCAAACUUGUGGUCCAAACGGGCCCAGGCCUCAGCGAUAGCUGUGGUGUUACUCAGCAUGCACACAGCCCUCUGGACCUUGGCCAGGUCUCCUCCAGGAACCGCCGUAGGGGGCUGGUAGUUGAUACCCACCUUGAAGCCAGUGGGACACCAGUCCACAAACUGGAUGGUGCGUUUGGUCUUUAUGGCAGCGAUGGCAGAGUUGACAUCUUUAGGAACAACGUCACCACGGUACAGGAGACAGCAGGCCAUGUAUUUGCCGUGACGAGGGUCACACUUCACCAUCUGAUUGGCUGGCUCGAAGCAGGCAUUUGUGAUGUCAGCGACUGACAGCUGCUCAUGAUAGGCCUUCUCAGCUGAGAUGACUGGGGCAUAGGUAGCCAGAGGGAAGUGGAUACGGGGGUAGGGCACCAAGUUGGUCUGGAACUCUGUCAGAUCAACAUUCAGGGCUCCAUCGAAUCGCAGGGAGGCAGUGAUGGAGGAGACGAUCUGGCCAAUGAGCCUGUUGAGGUUGGUGUACGAGGGACGCUCAAUAUCUAGGUUCCUGCGGCAGAUGUCAUAGAUGGCCUCAUUGUCCACCAUGAAGGCACAGUCAGAGUGCUCCAGGGUGGUGUGAGUGGUCAGGAUGGAGUUGUAGGGCUCCACCACAGCCGUGGACACCUGGGGAGCUGGGUAAACGGCGAACUCCAGCUUAGACUUCUUUCCGUAGUCCACAGACAGACGUUCCAUCAGCAGGGAGGUGAAACCAGAACCGGUGCCUCCUCCAAAGCUGUGGAAGAUGAGGAAUCCCUGGAGUCCAGUGCACUGGUCAGCCUGAAUGGAGAAAUGAACCAGGUCAAUGAUCUCCUUGCCGAUGGUGUAGUGACCACGGGCGUAGUUGUUGGCAGCAUCUUCCUUACCCGUAAUGAGCUGCUCAGGGUGGAACAGCUGGCGAUAGGUACCUGUCCUCACCUCAUCUGAAAGACAAAGUAUGUCUCAUCUUACCGAUGACAGUGGGCUCCAGAUCAACGAAGAUGGCACGGGGGACAUGUUUUCCGGCUCCGGUCUCACUGAAGAAGGUGUUGAAGGAGUCGUCUCCACCUCCACAAGUCUUGUCACUGGGCAUCUGUCCGUCCGGCUGGAUCCCAUGCUCCAGGCAGUACAGCUCCCAACAGGCGUUACCCAUCUGGACUCCGGCUUGGCCCACAUGCAUAGAGAUACACUCACGCUGAAAGAGAGAGGCGGUACAAGAGAUCAACCACAUGGAAACUUCAAUCAAAUCAGGUGUAUACACAUUUAUGACAGUGAAGUGUUGGAGUGUUGAAGGAGUGGAUUGAUAAAAUAAAAAGUUGAAAGCCA